rnacentral:rRNA from 1 species
AACGAACGCUGGCGGCAUGCCUAACACAUGCAAGUCGAACGAGCCCUUCGGGGCUAGUGGCGCACGGGUGCGUAACGCGUGGGAAUCUGCCCUUGGGUUCGGAAUAACAGUGAGAAAUUACUGCUAAUACCGGAUGAUGUCUUCGGACCAAAGAUUUAUCGCCCAAGGAUGAGCCCGCGUAGGAUUAGCUAGUUGGUGGGGUAAUGGCCUACCAAGGCGACGAUCCUUAGCUGGUCUGAGAGGAUGAUCAGCCACACUGGGACUGAGACACGGCCCAGACUCCUACGGGAGGCAGCAGUGGGGAAUAUUGGACAAUGGGCGAAAGCCUGAUCCAGCAAUGCCGCGUGAGUGAUGAAGGCCUUAGGGUUGUAAAGCUCUUUUACCCGGGAUGAUAAUGACAGUACCGGGAGAAUAAGCGCCGGCUAACUCCGUG